rnacentral:lncRNA from 1 species
AAGUAUGUCGAUUCCCCACUGGGCGAAGGGCCACGGGGCGACGACUGGAGUAAGCUGGCUGCGGGUCGGUGUUGUAUGUUGGCAUACCUUUGGCAUGGUUCGCACCUCCGAACCAACUCAGCCGCGUCCUUCUUCAUAGUGGGCCAGUAGUAACCCUGUCGCAGGACUUUGUAAGCCAAGGAUUUGCCCCCCAAGUGAUUAUUGCAGAUCCCUUCAUGCACUUCUCUGAGGGCAUAGUCCGCGUCGACCGACCCCAGGCACUUCAGCAAGGGAAGAG